ACCUGGCUGGCUCAGUCAGUAGAGCAUGUGACUCUUAAUCUUAGGGUUGUGAGUUCAAGCCUCACAUUGGGUG
rnacentral:tRNA from 1 species